CACCCAGCAAUCCUGGAAGUUAAAGACUGGGGGGUUGUAGGUUUGCAACAGCUGGAGGCACUCUGGUUGGGAAACAUUGCUGUAGAGUCAUGAUGCCUCCAGUGAAUAGUGCUAAAUAUUGUGCUAAACAUUGUGCUGGAUAUGUCUGCUCCCUUUUGCAGCUGCUGGGCAGAGCUCAGAGACUGUAAAGUUUAGUGAGGCUAUGUUCAGACUGCGGAAUAUCGGCUUAGUGAAUCUUUGUGCGGACAUUAUGUACACUGCGGGGUGCCGGCAUAAUAUUCCGGUGCUAGGACUGUACCGUCUCUUAGAUGGCUAUGCAUUCUGUGCAGCCUCCACACAAUGAAUGAACGUGUUCAUUCUUUGUGCGAACACAGAAAAUGGAAUUUCUGGCACAGAAAUUACACUGUGUGCACAGCGCAGCAGAAUCCCGUUGAAUUCAACAGGACCCUGCUGCAGCAGAAUCUCCGUGCCGGACUCCAAUGUGGAACCCGGCAUGGAAAUUCUACUGUGUGAACCUAGCCUUAUAGAGUUCAGAGCUGAGGGAAGGGUGUGUUUAGAGAAGCAUAGCUGAGGGAGGAAGUUCUCCCCUGUAUGGCUUCAGAUGAUGUCACGCCUGCUGGCCAUAUGCAUGUGACUUGCAUGUGAAGGUGCCAGAAGGUGGACGAUCAGUGGUCUGUAGAAUCAUUUGUACAAGUAAUCCCUCCAGCAAUGCUCCAGACUACACUGAUAGAGCACUGUGAUUUAAAAUGUACCUGUGAAAACAACUUUUGACAUGUGCUAGGGACAUGUCAAAAGUUUUUAUCGAGCGAGGUCUGAGUGUUCAGAUCCCAACCGUCGACAAGAACGAGCAGGUUGAGAGCCCAUCCAGCCCGUCCCUCAAGUCCAUGUGUCACAGAGCCGGGAGAGAACAUAACAUAGUUCUGCCAGUUUGUUCUUGUUAUCAGUUGGGGUUCAAAGACUCAGACCCCAACCAAUAAAAUCUUUUGAUAUGUCUCUAUGAUAUAUCAAGAGUCUUUAUAAAUGACAGGUACCAUUUAAAGAAAGAAGUCCCAAUAAGCUUACACAAAGUGUCAAAUUAUUGAAUUCGGCUAAUCGUACCACUUAUUGUUUCAGUCAGCGAUAUCUGAAAAAAUCUAUUGUGACCAUUCACAUUUUUGGCCAAGAUCUGCUGCAUAAUUUACAACUGAUGUCAGCUGAAAUGGCCCAGAUCAUCCAUGACUGAUAUGUGUACAGCCAGCUUGAAGGCAUUAACCCAAGAAUAACAAUUAUUACCUGUCUACAGAAUAGGAAGCAUCAUUUGACGUGAAACGGACGUUUCCUUGUCCCCGCACCUUAUCUGCUCUCCUUGAUCCUCGUGCAUGCGUGUCUGAAGUGUAUGUGAAUUUGCCAUGCAUUCCUGGUUAAACCAUCGCUGCACAGCUGUCAACCAUGGAAUGAGAGCAAGUGUGACGAGGCUCCACCUCUUUAAAAUCAGAGGAAUCAUGAAAAACAAAGGCUGCAUUGGGAAACCAUAUCAGAGAGGGAAUAUGAAUCACGAUGGCAGACAACCGCUGCCUGCCAAAUCAACUAAAAUAGGCUUCCGUCCUGCCACCCUAUCGCAUUCAUAUAAAGAAUACAGAAGAUGUCACAUGUAGCACACAGCCGGUACUUGCAAAAAUGUCAACAUUUCUGCAGUUUACUUAAUGUUGUCUCUUGAAACCUCCCUGAAAAGUUUUAUUCUCAUCUUUUCAUCAACUUUGAAGGAACAUCCAGUUAUAGAAUGACUGCUAAGGGCUUAAAAAACUCAUCACCCCAACUGCAGCAAGGUAAUUCCGUAUAUGAAAAUUGAAAGGACAGUACAGAAUCCAAAGCACAUCAUAGCAGCUGCAUUUAUAAAUUGCUCCUGCCUAAUAAAAACCUGAAAUAAUCUCAAUUGAAAUAUAAGACAUUAUAAAAAAGGCACUUAGAGUAAUGAAAAAUAUGGCAUUUUAUUCUUUACUGUUUAUUUUCUAGAUACAAUAUAACAUAUUGUCCUAGAAAAGGCAGAACAAAAUGAUGGUGAGACUAAUAUAAAGUGAACAUAGCAGCAUGUUUGGGCUACUCCUGCUUCGUCCAUGCUUUCCAUAGAUGGCCACUUAUUUAAAAGACUGGUAUGUAAUGCUACAUUUCCCCUGCAGUGCCCAUGGCCUCCUACAAUGAUACGAGCUGAUCAUGGAGGAUAAGACAAUCAGACAAAUCAGUGAAAACACUAUAUAUUUUCUGCUGCAAAUCUGGACAGAAUAUUUGCAGCAUAUUUGGCCCAUGUGAGCAUGCCCCUAAUGUACCCACAGACAAAAAGAUGAACAUAUUUAGAUGUAUAACAGGCCAUGCAAACAAUGAAUAAGAUU